rnacentral:rRNA from 1 species
AUUGAACGCUGGCGGCAUGCCUUACACAUGCAAGUCGAACGGUAACGGGCCUUCGGGUGCCGACGAGUGGCGAACGGGUGAGUAAUACAUCGGAACGUGCCCGAUCGUGGGGGAUAACGAGGCGAAAGCUUUGCUAAUACCGCAUACGAUCUACGGAUGAAAGCAGGGGACCGCAAGGCCUUGCGCGGACGGAGCGGCCGAUGGCAGAUUAGGUAGUUGGUGGGAUAAAAGCUUACCAAGCCGACGAUCUGUAGCUGGUCUGAGAGGAUGAUCAGACACACUGGGACUGAGACACGGCCCAGACUCCUACGGGAGGCAGCAGUGGGGAAUUUUGGACAAAGGGCGCAAGCCUGAUCCAGCCAUGCCGCGUGCAGGAUGAAGGCCUUCGGGUUGUAAACUGCUUUUGUACGGAACGAAAAGCCUUCUUUUAAUACAGGAGGGUCAUGACGGUACCGUAAGAAUAAGCACCGGCUAACUACGUG